rnacentral:lncRNA from 1 species
ACCACCCUCAGCUAGUAAGGACUUUUUAAAGAAUAUAGUGGAGACACGUUUUCUCAGUUUCAGUCCUAGCUCUACCAUUUUCUAUCUGAGUGACCUUGAGCAAGUUAUUUAAGCUUCCCUUGACUCAAUUUUAUCAUCUUUAAAAUAAGAUUAUGUGAGAAUACUACCUAUCUCAUAAUGUUGGUGUAAAAAAUAGUUGCAAUGCCUGGCACAUAGUAAGUACUUGAUAAAUGUUAACUAUUAUAACUGAGGUCUGGAGCCCUGGGAGCAGUUUAAGUUAGAUCUUGGUAUAUUUUGAGCUUCAUUCCAAAAAAAAGGUACAUGAGUAUAUGUAUAUGCUAUUUGAUGUUGCCAGGAAUAGUUAAUUUUAUCUGUCAAAAAUUUCUUCCUAGCACACUCUUUUGAGUCACGGAUUUUGGCUUUUAAGUAAGCUAAAGGUUGUUAUUUGGGAGAAUGGCCAGAAAAACUUAUCCACAGCUUUCGAAUCACAUGUUGAACAAAUCUGGCAUCACAAGCGUCAAGCUGCCUUCUGUUUCUAAUCAUUUUUCUUUCUAAUUUAGUUUCUCCCACCCAAAGAAAUUAUAAUUUAUUUUCAUUGCAGAGUCCAUGAAAGAUGUCACAAGAUGUAAAAGCAAUUAUUUUCAAGAGGAUGAAACUCAUAUUUGCUGAACAUCGCAGUUGGCUUCAUCCCAAAUGCUAAGCAGUAGCAAUACUUCCCUGGAUUGAGACAACGUGUUACUGAUCUGAGAAGGCUGGCAAAAGUCUUGGCUGAGAAAACCUUUCUUCUCUUCUAUAUCUCUAAAAUUCUUUAAAAAUGAGCGUGCGUGCAUGCGCAUGUGCACACACACACACAGAGUGCAGCAUCUUAAUUAUGAAAGGUUCUCUAAGACCAUACAGGUCAGUGGCCUGGGCCAUGAAAGUUUUGAACCCCAGCCAUGUUUCAACAUAGACUUCCUUAUGAGAGUUUCACUUUUCUUCCUUACGUUUCACUUUUCUUUUCUAAGCUUUUCUUUCUUUUCAUUCCCAACUUCUACUUCUUGCCCCCUUACUGUAACCUUAAGAGAAUAACCUCUUUGCUCUUGAUUUCCCCUAUUUGGUCUUUCUCUUACAUAUCUUAUGGUUUUCUAAGUUUAGGCAUCUGUCCCUGCUUAGAAGUUCCUAUAAAAUGAUGUAAAUCAGGAAAUGACCUUUUGUCAACCCUAAAGCCCAUAUCUUAUAAACAAUAAAAUGCUUACAAAAAAAAUUACAAGUAUAGAAAAGAACAAAAGUCAGGAACAAUGCUGUUUAUUCCUCCUCUCUGUUUAUCCAAAUCUAUACAUCAAGCCUUACAUCACAACCUCCUUUUUCUCCAGGAUGUAUCACCAGCAUCUCGCCUGGACUGAACACUCCUUCCUCAGAGAUUUUACUAUAUUUUUAUUUCUACUACAGAUUUGACAUUAUCUUGUAGUUAUGCCAGUUCCUUCUGGGUUUAUGUUAAUUCCCAGCAGAAAUAAGUUUCUUGAGGGCUAAUCCUUAUCUGUGACCUUGGGCAAGUUUUCUAACCUUUCUUACAAGUAUUAGUAAGUAAUAGUCAUUCAUUACAUUGUCAUAAUAAUGAAAUACCAUGAUAGAACUUUCUGGGCCAUAGUAAUGUGCUCAAUAAAGUUAAAUCCUUUCCCUUUUCUCCUUCGUUUUGUGGUCUCCUCCAUGGUGCCCAUUGCCAUCCAGUGGGAGGUGAUAUAGAGCACUGAUUCAGAAUAUGGGCUGGAGUUUGAUUCCCAGCUUAGUCACUCCCUAAGGAAUUUAGGAAGCAUACUCAGUCUCUUGUCAACCUCAAAUAUUCAAAAGGGUUAGAAUCUAGUUUAAAGAGAGUUUAUUCAAGCACAAAGUUGAGGAUGGCUGCUUGGGAAGCACAGAUUCCAAAAAAUGAAAGUCAGUGUUUGAAAGUGUAGAAGUUUGGGCUCAUUCACUUAGAUAAGUUUGGGGAGCUUCACAGAAUUUCAACGCUUUCUAUAUAAGGCUUUAUCUUAUUAGUUACGGCAGUCUUUUUCUUUUCAGGAAAGGUAAUUUUACAUUCUACACUGAAGAUGUAACAGUUAUGGAAUCUUUUGCACCAUCUGGCCUGAAUUAGGUGUUUCUCGAAUCUCUCAUGCUUGAUUACCUGCUCAUAUUUAAAAGUGGAGGCUUCAAGAGCUGCCUGGAAACUGAGUAAGUAGGUGAGGCUUGAUCAUGGUGAGAUUUCCUGUAGGGUGAGCUGCCUGGGCCUUUGGUUGGGGAAGCCCUGAUGUCAACAUCCAUGUGAGUGUAUUUGGAUCUUUCUUCUUGGGUCUGAUAGAUUCCCACCUACAAAAGACUUAUUUGGUGUUCUGCCUGGAAGUAAAUAACUGCUGCCGUCAUUCUGAGAUGAGGAGGAAGUUUUGCAUUUAGUAGGCAUACAUCAUUUACUUAACCCUCCUGUUUUUUGUUUGUUAAAACACACCCUCUGUUUUACCCUCUUCAAAGAGGAAGACUGUCUUCUGCUGGGGUGAGGGAAGGAAAUCACCCAGCAUUUGGAGGAAGAGAGGGGCAUCUAGGGAUAUAACUGCUUCUCCAACAGCUUUCAACCAACCUUCUUUCAUCUUUCACAGCCCUGCCCCUCUUUUCUAGGAGUAGUUGUGCCUUCAAUGCCUGAGCCUUGAUUAUUUGGUGGUUUAAAUUGACUUGGUUCUUGGAACCAAGGAGGAAAAAGAGUUCAAUUUUUCAUCAGUUUUACCAAGUCCAUACCACCUGUUAUCUGUUUUGUAGCUUUCAAAAAGUUGGUGCUAUUUCUUCUCAUGUUCACUGUAUCCUUAUAGGUUUAUGCUUAAGAAACAAAAACAAAAACAAAACAAAACAAAACAAAAAACCCUUUACCAUACCAUAGUUUCAGUGCAGUUUAGGAGAGAGUGAAAGUGUGUGUUCAAUUAGCCAUCUUUUUGCAAUUCUGCUUUUUUUAUGGUAUAUUUUAUAGUGUUUAGAGAUUUUUUUGCAGCUGCCUUCUUUUGGAAAAACCAAAGGCAGCAGACUCUGGGCAUGCUGAACUGGGGCUACUUGCUCCAUUUCAAUUCUUAAAUUUAGAACUAUGCCUCUGCUUCCCUCACAGACAGUCCAAUUAAAAAUAAAAACUCUCCAAAUCAAGAAUCAAGAACAGUUAUGGGACUCUGAUUGCAGAAAGCAUUUUCAAAAGCAUUUAGCAUUCAAAUAACUUACCCACUGAGAUAGACAGAACAAUGGUCUCCCAAGGAUGUUCACAUUCUAAUCCCCAGAAUCUGUAGGUCAAAUUACAUGUCAAAGGGGAAUCAAAGUAGCAGAUGGAAUUAAGGUAGCUAAUCAGCUGACUUUAAAAUAGGGAGAUUAUCCUGGGUCAUCUGCUUGGCCUAAUGUAGUCACAAGGAUCCUUAAUUGUGGACGAGGGAGACAGAAGAGUUAUUGUCAAAGUUAUAUGAUGUCAGAAAGACUUGACCAUCUCUUCCUGGCUUUAAAGAUGGAAGGAGAACAUGAGCCAAAGAAUGCGGUUAGCCUCUAGACACUGGAGCAGGAAAGGACACAGAUUCUCCCCUAGAAGCUCCUGAAGGGAACCAGCUCUGCUAACAGCUUUUUUUGGGGCGGAGGGGGGAUCAAUUUUUAUUUGGGCUCCUCACAGUGGUUAUAGUCACUCUUCCGAACAAUCUCAGCACAGGAAAUGCAUCACCAAGACUGCCUAGAAAAGUCUGACCAGUAGCACCUUACUGCUUAAAAUACACAUAUUCACAAUAACUGACAAAGGAUAAUGUGCCUCACACAGGAAUGUGUUCGCAUUUGCAAAUCUCUCAACUGGCUGUAGCAUCAAACCCUCCACUAACCCCUUCCAUCUCAUUCAGCUGGAAAACCAGUCUCAAUCACAUCUCCCGGCCCCGGAACCAAUUCCUUAUUAAAUCUCUCCCUGAGCGGGGUAGCCUCCUGUAGCGGGGGCCAGACUGCGACUUGAGAAUCAAGGCCAGCUCCACAGGUUGCAUUUCCAUCUUCUUGUGCCUUUAGGGUAGGACACUGCAAUGAAUCACACAGUUAGCACUCCACCACUUCCCCACUCUAACUGGGGAAAGGAACUUGAGAGAGUCAGAAUUCAUCCAUUUGAUCUGUUCACUGAAAAAGGAUUCAUUUUGGUAGAACUUGUUUGCCUUUGAGACACUUCAGUGAGUUAUUUGGGAUUCUU